rnacentral:lncRNA from 1 species
CAUGUGCAGGUGCAUCACAAACAAAAGGACCUAGGCACCAUUGACACUGAGAUUUAGGACAAUGAGAAGUGGAUUAAGGGGGUAUUGAAGAUGCGUAUCUUGUAACAAAGUACUUUUCAAAUAACAUUGAAUAAAUGCUGUGUACGCAUUUUAAAGGAAUUUUUGGCACUCUGAAAACAUUAAAAUUAAAUAUAUCAAUCUUUGAAAGCACCUCUUAACUCAAAUAUAUGAAUGGAUGCUUCUACACCCUGGGCACACAUUCCAAGGUAGAUUAAUCUUCCAGCAUUCUUUUCAUCACACACUGGAUACAAAUUUAAUCACAUGUUUUUCAACUCACUUUGCAUUUCCUCUUAGCUUGGCGUAACCAAGAAGUUCACUGAAGUCUGCACAUGGAAUUGCACUUAUACUUUACAAAGCUACAGAGGAAGUUGGGACAGUUCCUGCUUCUUCUGCAUUUUGAGAGAUUCAGGUUUGCAUUUCAGAGUCAAACCACCUGGAAAUAAUGCUUAAAAUGCUCAUAUCUGCAAGUCCUGGACUCGGCACCCAGGGAAGCCAGUUCCCCUUUAUCUCCCAAACUCUAGAAAUUCAGCAUGUCUCUGAUCCAUUCACAACUGAGAGCAUUUCAUUACACUGAGACAAUUAAAACUCUGCUGCAACCGAGUGAGAUGCUCCUAGAAACACCAUGGGGUCUGAGGCAGGCAGGACUGGGUAUUUGGGAAAUGGGAAUGGGGACCAAGUAGAACCAACGCAGGGUAAGAAAGGAAGGGAGCACUUGCCAUUUUUAUUUUCCUCCCCUUGGAAUUAGUUAGCUUCACACCUUACUGCACUCAAAGAAAAUAGUUGGCAUGAUCACCCUUUAUCCAAAGAAAUCAUCUUUAAAAGUACUCAGCUGUUUUGUAGAGUAGGUAGCCAUCUAGUCAAAAUUGCACAGAUUCUGUAAGAUCUUUCAGGGCCACAUUGGAGCACCAGCAGCUUCACUAGAUGGUUUUACUGACCGGGUUUUCAGGAAAAGUUCUGUUCUUAUUAGAACACCACAGAAGAUAACCCAGUCCUCUGGUAUUGUAAAAAUUACCAAGAUUGAUCAGAAUGGUUCCAGAUGUUUCAAUUCAACCAGGUUGUGUUUAAGAAUACUAUCAUCAAGGUCAAAGGCAAAAGCCCAUCAAAGGGCCUGACUGUGGAACAUCUGUCCAGGAGCCAAUUGAAUCUAAUUAGAAAAAAAUUUCAACUGACUUUUUCAAAACUUUAUUUUAUUUUUUUAUUUGUUCUAAUUAGUUAUACAUGAGAAUAGAAGGCACUUUUAUACAUCAUACACAGACAGAAUAUAAUUUCUCAUUCUUCUGGUUGUACAUGAUGUGGAAUCCUAUCUGUC